rnacentral:rRNA from 1 species
AGAGUUUGAUCCUGGCUCAGGAUGAACGCUGGCGGCGUGCUUGACACAUGCAAGUCGAACGGGAAUAUCGCAAGGUAUUCUAGUGGCGGACGGGUGAGUAACACGUAGUCAACCUGCCCUGAAGCGGGGGAUAACUCCGGGAAACUGGAGAUAAUACCGCGUAAUGUCCCGGAAGGGAAGAAAGGCAAGGCUUCGCAAGAGGCCGGCCACUUUAGGGGGGGUCUGCGGCCUAUCAGCUAGUUGGUGGGGUAACGGCCUACCAAGGCGAAGACGGGUAGGGGGCGUGAGAGCGUGGUCCCCCACACUGGCACUGAGAGACGGGCCAGACUCCUACGGGAGGCAGCAGUGAGGAAUAUUGGGCAAUGGGCGCAAGCCUAACCCAGCAACGCCGCGUGGGCGAAGAAGGUCUUCGGAUCGUAAAGCCCUUUUGUGAGGGACGAGGAAGGACGGUACCUCACGAAUAAGCCUCGGCUAACUACGUGCCAGCAGCCGCGGUAAAACGUAGGAGGCAAGCGUUAUCCGGAUUUACUGGGCGUAAAGGGCGUCUAGGUGGUUGGGAAAGUUGGCUGUGAAAGCUCCUGGCUCAACUGGGAGAGGUCAGUCAAAACUACCUGACUUGAGGGUCGGAGAGGGGUGUGGAAUUCCCGGUGUAGCGGUGGAAUGCUUAGAGAUCGGGAGGAACACCAGUGGCGAAGGCGACACCCUGGCCGACAACUGACACUGAAGCGCGAAAGCGUGGGGAGCAAACAGGAUUAGAUACCCUGGUAGUCCACGCUGUAAACGAUGAUGACUGGGUGUGGGAGGUAUUGAACCCUUCCGUGCCGAAGCAAACGCGAUAAGUCAUCCGCCUGGGGAGUACGGCCGCAAGGUUAAAGCUCAAAGGAAUUGACGGGGGCCCGCACAAGCAGCGGAGCGUGUGGUUUAAUUCGAUGCGACACGAAGAACCUUACCCGGGUCUGACAUGUACGUGGUACCGAAGCGAAAGCGGAGGGACUCGCAAGAGAGCGUGCACAGGUGCUGCAUGGCUGCCGUCAGCUCGUGCCGUGAGGUGUUGGGUUAAGUCCCGCAACGAGCGCAACCCCUGCCGUUAGUUAGAUAUGUCUAACGGGACUGCCGCGAUCAACGCGGAGGAAGGUGGGGACGACGUCAAGUCAGCAUGGCCUUUAUAUCCGGGGCUACACACACGCUACAAUGGCCGGUACAGAGGGUCGCGAAGCCGCAAGGUGAAGCCAAUCUCACAAAGCCGGUCUCAGUUCGGAUUGGGGUCUGCAACCCGACCCCAUGAAGGUGGAGUUGCUAGUAACUGCAGGUCAGCUAUACUGCAGUGAAUGCGUUCCCGGGCCUUGUACACACCGCCCGUCACGUCAUGGGAGUUGGCAACACCCGAAGCCGGUAGCCGAACCGCAAGGGAAGCACCGUCGAAGGUGGGGCCAGCGACUGGGACGAAGUCGUAACAAGGUA